UUUGAUCCUGGCUCAGGACGAACGCUGGCGGCGCGCCUAACACAUGCAAGUCGAACGAGUGAGAGAGAGCUUGCUUUCUCGAGCGAGUGGCGAACGGGUGAGUAACGCGUGAGGAACCUGCCUCAAAGAGGGGGACAACAGUUGGAAACGACUGCUAAUACCGCAUAAGCCCACGACCCGGCAUCGGGUAGAGGGAAAAGGAGCAAUCCGCUUUGAGAUGGCCUCGCGUCCGAUUAGCUAGUUGGUGAGGUAACGGCCCACCAAGGCGACGAUCGGUAGCCGGACUGAGAGGUUGAACGGCCACAUUGGGACUGAGACACGGCCCAGACUCCUACGGGAGGCAGCAGUGGGGAAUAUUGCACAAUGGGGGAAACCCUGAUGCAGCGACGCCGCGUGGAGGAAGAAGGUCUUCGGAUUGUAAACUCCUGUUGUUGAGGAAGAUAAUGACGGUACUCAACAAGGAAGUGACGGCUAACUACGUGCCAGCAGCCGCGGUAAAACGUAGGUCACAAGCGUUGUCCGGAAUUACUGGGUGUAAAGGGAGCGCAGGCGGGAAGACAAGUUGGAAGUGAAAUCCAUGGGCUCAACCCAUGAACUGCUUUCAAAACUGUUUUUCUUGAGUAGUGCAGAGGUAGGCGGAAUUCCCGGUGUAGCGGUGGAAUGCGUAGAUAUCGGAAGGAACACCAGUGGCGAAGGCGGCCUACUGGGCACCAACUGACGCUGAGCUCGAAGUGUGGUAGCAAACAGGAUAGUACCUGUAGUCACACUGUAACAUGAUACUAGUGUGGAGAUGACCCU
rnacentral:rRNA from 1 species